AUAAAGAAACAGACUCCAAGUAAAUAAGUAACUUGCUCAACAUCCACAGUGAUUAACUGACAGAGCUACAGCUCAAACGCAGGUGUCCUGAUUCUUGGACUAAAGGACUUUCUGCCAACCCUGAGAGAACAUUCUGGCUGGAAUAGAAGGAAAUGAGACGAGCAGAGAGAGGCCUGGUAGGCUCUGAAGAGAAGCAGUCUCAGGCACUGAGGCAGAAGAGGGCCUCCGCUAGUGAGCACAGACCAACAGGACAGGAUUCCAGCCAAUGGCCAGUGUGGGUGCUGCUUUGUUCGGGCCGGGAAACAUCUCACUUCCCCUACCCUCUUUCACUUGGUUUGCCAGCUGCUUGUCACUCAGACCUCAUGUCCUUUGAGAAGUGGUCCCAAAGCACACAAGCAUGCCUCCUCAGAACACGUGUCCCAGUACCGCGAGUCUAUUUUCCCUGUUGGCACAUAAGCUCCAAGGAUGAAGCUCUGACAGUCUCCUCUUGCCCAGGUCUUAGCACUUACUACCUCUGCU
rnacentral:lncRNA from 1 species